rnacentral:rRNA from 1 species
UUGUCACCAGCAUUUGGUGGGCAAUUUUGGGGGAAUGCCGGGGACAAACCGGGGGAAGGGGGGGAAGAAGUCAAGUCAUCCUGGGCCUUACGGCCAGGGGUACCACACGUGUUACAAUGGGAUUUCCAGUGGCCGGCGACGUCGGAAGGGGAGGCAAUUCUCCAAAAGGCGUCGUAGUCCGGAUUGGAGUCUGCAACUCGAGUCCAUGAAGUCGAAUCGCUGUAUC